GGCGCUUGGAUCGAGUCGAGGCCGUGUGCUGUAAAAGUGGGUGCCAUGGACCGUGAAGAACAAUCUGAAGUCUGUCCCACAAAGACUCAAGAAUUGUUGUCAAAGGCCGAGUUGGGUUUGAGAGACAUAGAGAAGAUGCUCAGCUGGUUUACUACAACUGACCCCUCCGGUAACACAGGCAUUAGUAAGGAGCGCCAGAUUGACACAGAGGAAAAUACCCUGGUCAGGUUUGGGAGUGCAGCAGCCAAGGACGACUAGAGGAUGCAAAGUUUACAAUCCAGAGCAGGACGAUGACACAACAUCAUCAAAUAAAUGAUUCCGUUUUUUUGCCCAACAUCAUCUGGAUCAGAGAAUUCAGAGACACACAACUGACAAGAUGAUUGCAUUAAAGUCAUUGUAAAAUGUGUCUCCUUACUACUGAAUGAACAUAAGCCAGAUUUUCUUGUUUCUAAGUAUGCAAGACGUUAAGGAUUUACAAGGUACUAGUUUCUUGUUGAGUGUUUAAUAAAGUGUUUGACAGUUUUAAUGUUUUUAGAUAUUACAUAUGUGAUUAAAAUAUUUGAGUU